AUGACUGGGAGAACUUAUUCAAGUUUUCUGUCCUCAGAUAAAGAGAGCUAUGAAAGCCUGUCUACAGAUGAAGAGGUCCCAAUGAAGAGCAGUGGUUCUCAGUCCUGGGGACUCAAAGGGAUUCCUUGUAACUGGAGAUUCUUUCAAAACGAUUGGCUACAGUUACUGUGUAGGGCACUGCAAGGUUGGGUGACCAGGGCCAUCUGGGACUGCCUCCUGGAGGAAUUCAGGCGUGUGAAGGCUACUUGUGUCCUGUAUAACUUCAUGAGGAUGGACAUGAGGAACAGGAUGGGAUCUGCAGCUCGCCGCUGUGUGCCAGAGGAGAAAGUCUGGUGCUCAGCAGGAUGUGUCAAGGAUGGGGUCCAACAACACAGCAAGAGAGGCAAUCUGUGUUAUCAGCUGUGUCGGUGAAUCCCUCCCGCAUCUGAACUGGCUACAUAGAGGGCACAGCAUGAUCAGAGGUGAGAGGUCACUUGGUCAGGCCAACAGGAAGUAUUAUUAAAGAGAUGCUUUACAUUGAAAUACAGAUAGAAAUGCAGUAGUCCCAGAGUUAAUGAUCCAAGGUCAGUUUUGCAUUUCAUCUCCUGAUUAUGAUGACUGACAGUGUUAAUUUUUUUUAAACACAAGGCUUAAACAUGCUCUCUCUCUCUCUCCAUCUGUCUCUUGUCUGCAGGAAUGUUUUGAUGUAAGAGAGGAUGCUAACCCCCAGUCCCGUCAUCGCCACCUUACCCGUUCUUAAGAUAACCUUCGGGCUGACUAGAGAAACUAUUAUGUAACUGUGAUGAACUGAGAGAAUAUUAGGGUAGCACUGUGACUCAUUAAUCAUAUGCUGCCUUCCCUGCUCCUCUGUUCUUUCCCUUUCUGUCUUUUACACCUCUCUCGCCACCUCUUUCUUUCUCUGUUUUUAUAAUGCACAACAGCUGUGCAUUGAAGUAAAGAUUGAACUUGCAUUUAUAAUAUAUUACAAUUAUAAUAUUUAUAAUGCAUGUAUUUAUAACACUUGGAUAAUGAACUUCUUUCAAUAAAGCGUUUCACAUUCUCUACUGGUUGAAAUUAAGUCUCAUUUGAUGAAAUACUACACCUAUCCUGUGUUUAUCAGAUCAAUGCAUAUGAAGGAAAUUAGAUAUUGAGAUGAAUGUGU
rnacentral:lncRNA from 8 species